rnacentral:snRNA from 1 species
GUGCUUGCUACGGCGGCACAUAUACUAAAAUUGGAUCGAUACAGAGAAGAUUAGCAUGGCCCCUGCGAAAGGAUGACACGCAAAUCCGGGCCUCAGAACCGUAU